rfam:Eubacterium cellulosolvens 6 chromosome, whole genome shotgun sequence.
UGAAAGCUAUGAAGCGAGAGAUUGCAGCGAAGAGCUGGUAACUCCGUGGAGCAAAUGUCUAGUCAAGAUACAGGCGAAAC